CCUACGGGAGGCAGCAGUGGGGAAUAUUGGACAAUGGGCGAAAGCCUGAUCCAGCAAUACCGCGUGUGUGAAGAAGGCCUUAGGGUUGUAAAGCACUUUCAAUUGGGAGGAAAACCUACCGGUCAAUACCCGGUAGCUUGACAUUACCUUUAGAAGAAGCACCGGCUAACUCCGUGCCAGCAGCCGCGGUAAU
rnacentral:rRNA from 2 species